rnacentral:lncRNA from 1 species
AAGAUACCACGCUGCAUGUGUCCUUAGUAGUCAUGUCUCCUUAGGCUCCUCUUGGACAUUCUGAGCAUGUGAGACCUGAGGACUGCAAACAGCUAUAAGAGGCUCCAAAUUAAUCAUAUCUUUCCCUUUGAGAAUCUGGCCAAGCUCCAGCUAAUCUACUUGGAUGGGUUGCCAGCUAUCUGGAGAAAAAGAUCUUCCUCAGAAGAAUAGGCUUGUUGUUUUACAGUGUUAGUGAUCCAUUCCCUUUGACGAUCCCUAGGUGGAGAUGGGGCAUGAGGAUCCUCCAGGGGAAAAGCUCACUACCACUGGGCAACAACCCUAGGUCAGGAGGUUCUGUCAAGAUACUUUCCUGGUCCCAGAUAGGAAGAUAAAGUCUCAAAAACAACCACCACACGUCAAGCUCUUCAUUGUUCCUAUCUGCCAAAUCAUUAUACUUCCUACAAGCAGUGCAGAGAGCUGAGUCUUCAGCAGGUCCAAGAAAUUUGAACACACUGAAGGAAGUCAGCCUUCCCACCUGAAGAUCAACAUGCCUGGCACUCUAGCACUUGAGGAUAGCUGAAUGAAUGUGUCUUACCCAUUUCCAUGUUUCUCUUGCUAAUUUCUUUCGUGUGUGCCUUUGCCUCAUUUUCUCUUUUUGUUCACAAGAGUGGUCUGUGUCUUGUCUUAGACAUAUCUCUCAUUUUUCAUUUUGUUGCUAUUUCUCUUUGCUCUCCUAGAUGUGGCUCUUCUUUCACGCUUUAUUUCAUGUCUCCUUUUUGGGUCACAUGCUGUGUGCUUUUUGUCCUUUUCUUGUUCUGUCUACCUCUCCUUUCUCUGCCUACCUCUCUUUUCUCUUUGUGAACUGUGAUUAUUUGUUACCCCUUCCCCUUCUCGUUCGUUUUAAAUUUCACCUUUUUUCUGAGUCUGGCCUCCUUUCUGCUGUUUCUACUUUUUAUCUCACAUUUCUCAUUUCUGCAUUUCCUUUCUGCCUCUCUUGGGCUAUUCUCUCUCUCCUCCCCUGCGUGCCUCAGCAUCUCUUGCUGUUUGUGAUUUUCUAUUUCAGUAUUAAUCUCUGUUGGCUUGUAUUUGUUCUCUGCUUCUUCCCUUUCUACUCACCUUUGAGUAUUUCAGCCUCUUCAUGAAUCUAUCUCCCUCUCUUUGAUUUCAUGUAAUCUCUCCUUAAAUAUUUCUUUGCAUAUGUGGGCAAGUGUACGUGUGUGUGUGUCAUGUGUGGCAGAGGGGCUUCCUAACCCCUGCCUGAUAGGUGCAGAACGUCGGCUAUCAGAGCAAGCAUUGUGGAGCGGUUCCUUAUGCCAGGCUGCCAUGUGAGAUGAUCCAAGACCAAAACAAGGCCCUAGACUGCAGUAAAACCCAGAACUCAAGUAGGGCAGAAGGUGGAAGGCUCAUAUGGAUAGAAGGCCCAAAGUAUAAGACAGAUGGUUUGAGACUUGAGACCCGAGGACUAAGAUGGAAAGCCCAUGUUCCAAGAUAGAUAGAAGCCUCAGGCCUGAAACCAACAAAAGCCUCAAGAGCCAAGAAAACAGAGGGUGGCCUGAAUUGGACCGAAGGCCUGAGUUGGAUGGAAGUCUCAAGGCUUGAGUUAGAAGUCUUAAGACCUGGGACAGGACACAUGGAAGGCCUAAGAACUGAGACUUGUGACACAAGGCCAACGACCUAAGAUUAGCCCAGGGUUGUAGCUGGAAGACCUACAACCCAAGGAUGGAAGGCCCCUGUCACAAAGCCUACCUAGAUGGAUAGAGGACCCAAGCGAAAAAGGUAUCUCAAGACUAACGGCCGGAAUCUGGAGGCCCAUGACCCAGAACCCAGGAAGGAUAGAAGCUUGAAGACCUGGGGAAAUCCCAAGAUGAGAACCCUAAACCCUACCUCUUUUCUAUUGUUUACACUUCUUACUCUUAGAUAUUUCCAGUUCUCCUGUUUAUCUUUAAGCCUGAUUCUUUUGAGAUGUACUUUUUGAUGUUGCCGGUUACCUUUAGAUUGACAGUAUUAUGCCUGGGCCAGUCUUGAGCCAGCUUUAAAUCACAGCUUUUACCUAUUUGUUAGGCUAUAGUGUUUUGUAAACUUCUGUUUCUAUUCACAUCUUCUCCACUUGAGAGAGACACCAAAAUCCAGUCAGUAUCUAAUCUGGCUUUUGUUAACUUCCCUCAGGAGCAGACAUUCAUAUAGGUGAUACUGUAUUUCAGUCCUUUCUUUUGACCCCAGAAGCCCUAGACUGAGAAGAUAAAAUGGUCAGGUUGUUGGGGAAAAAAAAGUGCCAGGCUCUCUAGAGAAAAAUGUGAAGAGAUGCUCCAGGCCAAUGAGAAGAAUUAGACAAGAAAUACACAGAUGUGCCAGACUUCUGAGAAGCACCUGCCAGCAACAGCUUCCUUCUUUGAGCUUAGGUGAGCAGGAUUCUGGGGUUUGGGAUUUCUAGUGAUGGUUAUGGAAAGGGUGACUGUGCCUGGGACAAAGCGAGGUCCCAAGGGGACAGCCUGAACUCCCUGCUCAUAGUAGUGGCCAAAUAAUUUGGUGGACUGUGCCAACGCUACUCCUGGGUUUAAUACCCAUCUCUAGGCUUAAAGAUGAGAGAACCUGGGACUGUUGAGCAUGUUUAAUACUUUCCUUGAUUUUUUUCUUCCUGUUUAUGUGGGAAGUUGAUUUAAAUGACUGAUAAUGUGUAUGAAAGCACUGUAAAACAUAAGAGAAAAACCAAUUAGUGUAUUGGCAAUCAUGCAGUUAACAUUUGAAAGUGCAGUGUAAAUUGUGAAGCAUUAUGUAAAUCAGGGGUCCACAGUUUUUCUGUAAGGGGUCAAAUCAUAAAUACUUUAGACUGUGGGCCAUAUGGUUUCUGUUACAUAUUUGUUUUUUAAACAACGUUUUUAUAAGGUCAAAAUCAUUCUUAGUUUUUGAGCCAAUUGGAUUUGGCCUGCUGUUCAUAGCUUACCACCCCCUGAUGUAUUAUUUGUUAUUCAGAGAAAAUUUCUGAAUACUACUAGUUUCCUUUUCUGUGCCUGUCCCUGUGCUAGGCACUAAAAAUGCAAUGAUUAUUGAUAUCUAGGUGACCUGAAAAAAAAUAGUGAAUGUGCUUUGUAAACUGUAAAGCACUUGUAUUCUACUGUGAUAAGCGUUGUGGAUACAAAGAAAGGAGCAAGCAUAAAAAAGUGCUCUUUCAAAAGGAUAUAGUACUAUGCAGACACAAGGAAUUGUUUGAUAAAUGAAUAAAUUAUAUGUAUAUUUGAGGCCAAUUUGUGUUUGCUGCUCUGGUAAUUUUGAGUAAAAAUGCAGUAUUCCAGGUAUCAGAAACGAAAACACAUGGAAACUGCUUUUAAACUUUAAAAUAUACUGAAAACAUAAGGGACUAAGCUUGUUGUGGUCACCUAUAAUGUGCCAGAUACCAUGCUGGGUGCUAGAGCUACCAAAGGGGGAAAAGUAUUCUCAUAGAACAAAAAAUUUCAGAAAGGUGCAUAUUAAAGUGCUUUGUAAACUAAAGCAUGAUACAAAUGUCAAUGGGCUACAUAUUUAUGAAUGAAUGAAUGGAUGAAUGAAUAUUAAGUGCCUCUUACAUACCAGCUAUUUUGGGUACUGUAAAAUACAAGAUUAAUUCUCCUAUGUAAUAAGAGGAAAGUUUAUCCUCUAUACUAUUCAGAUGUAAGGAAUGAUAUAUUGCUUAAUUUUAAACAAUCAAGACUUUACUGGUGAGGUUAAGUUAAAUUAUUACUGAUACAUUUUUCCAGGUAACCAGGAAAGAGCUAGUAUGAGGAAAUGAAGUAAUAGAUGUGAGAUCCAGACCGAAAGUCACUUAAUUCAGCUUGCGAAUGUGCUUUCUAAAUUAUAAAGCACUUGUAAAUGAAAAAUUUGAUGCUUUCUGUAUGAAUAAAACUUUCUGUAAGCUAGGUAUUGUCUCUACAAAAUUCUCAUUGUAUAGUUAAACCACAGUGAGAAGGGUUCUAUAAGUAGUUAUACAAACCAAGGGUUUAAAUACCUGUUAAAUAGAUCAAUUUUGAUUGCCUACUAUGUGAACUCACUGUUAAAGGCACUGAAAAUUUAUCAUAUUUCAUUUAGCCACAGCCAAAAAUAAGGCAAUACCUAUGUUAGCAUUUUGUGAACUCUAAGGCACCAUAUAAAUGUAACUGUUGAUUUUCUCACUUGGUGCUGGGUACUAGGUUUAUAAAAUUGUAUGAUAGUUAUUAUAUUGUGCAAAUAAAGUAGGAAAAUUUGAAUAACAAUGAUUAUCUUUUGAAUACGCAUACGCAAGGGAUUGGUUGUCUGAAGAAUGCCACUAUAGUAGUUAUCUAUUGUGUGCCAAUCUCAUUGCUAGGCAUUGGGGAUGCAAAGAUAAACCAUCUUUAUUGUGUCUUGGGUAGCAGAAGAAAAUAUGUGUAAAAUCAAUUUAUAAUUUGUAAACUGCCACCCAUAUAUAAGCUAUAUCUGCUGAAUGAUCAUUGAUUACUCUUAUCCUUAGAGAUAACAACUGGGGGCACAAACAUUUAUUAUCAUUAUUGAACCUACAACAGAGAUCUAUGUGUAGAUUUACAAAGCCUACAGUUCUAUACAGAUAGGAAUGAACUAUUGGCUUACUGAAUGGUGAUUACUUUCUGUGGGGCUCGGAACUACAUGCCCUAGGAUAUAAAAAUGAUGUUAUCAUUAUAGAGUGCUCACAGAAGGAAAUGAAGUAAUAUAGGUGUGAGAUCCAGACCAAAAGUCAUUUAACAAGUUUAUUCAGUGAUGAAAACAUGGGACAAAUGGACUAAUAUAAGGCAGUGUACUAAGCUGAGUAGAGAGAUAAAGUCCUGUCCAGAAGAUACAUGCUUCCUGGCCUGAUUGAGGAGAUGGAAAAUUUUUGCAAAAAACAAGGUGUUGUGGUCUUCCAUCCAGUUUCUUAAGUGCUGAUGAUAAAAGUGAAUUAGACCCACCUUGACCUGGCCUACAGAAGUAAAGGAGUAAAAAUAAAUGCCUCAGGCGUGCUUUUUGAUUCAUUUGAUAAACAAAGCAUCUUUUAUGUGGAAUAUACCAUUCUGGGUCCUGAGGAUAAGAGAGAUGAGGGCAUUAGAUCACUGACAGCUGAAGAUAGAAGAACAUCUUUGGUUUGAUUGUUUAAAUAAUAUUUCAAUGCCUAUUCUCUGCAAGGUACUAUGUUUCGUAAAUUAAAUAGGUCUGGCCCAGAAGACCCACUCAAUUGCCUUUGAGAUUAAAAAAAAAAAAAAAAAGAAAGAAAAAUGCAAGUUUCUUUCAAAAUAAAGAGACAUUUUUCCUAGUUUCAGGAAUCCCCCAAAUCACUUCCUCAUUGGCUUAGUUUAAAGCCAGGAGACUGAUAAAAGGGCUCAGGGUUUGUUCUUUAAUUCAUUAACUAAACAUUCUGCUUUUAUUACAGUUAAAUGGUUCAAGAUGUAACAACUAGUUUUAAAGGUAUUUGCUCAUUGGUCUGGCUUAGAGACAGGAAGACAUAUGAGCAAUAAAAAAAAGAUUCUUUUGCAUUUACCAAUUUAGUAAAAAUUUAUUAAAACUGAAUAAAGUGCUGUUCUUAAGUGCUUGAAAGACGUAAACCAAAGUGCACUUUAUCUCAUUUAUCUUAUGGUGGAAACACAGGAACAAAUUCUCUAAGAGACUGUGUUUCUUUAGUUGAGAAGAAACUUCAUUGAGUAGCUGUGAUAUGUUCGAUACUAAGGAAAAACUAAACAGAUCACCUUUGACAUGCGUUGUAGAGUGGGAAUAAGAGAGGGCUUUUUAUUUUUUCGUUCAUACGAGUAUUGAUGAAGAUGAUACUAAAUGCUAAAUGAAAUAUAUCUGCUCCAAAAGGCAUUUAUUCUGACUUGGAGAUGCAACAAAAACACAAAAAUGGAAUGAAGUGAUACUCUUCAUCAAACAGAAGUGACUGUUAUCUCAACCAUUUUGUUAAAUCCUAAACAGAAAACAAAAAAAAUCAUGACGAAAAGACACUUGCUUAUUAAUUGGCUUGGAAAGUAGAAUAUAGGAGAAAGGUUACUGUUUAUUUUUUUUCAUGUAUUCAUUCAUUCUACAAAUAUAUUCGGGUGCCAAUAGGUACUUGGUAUAAGGUUUUUGGCCCCAGAGACAUGGGAAAAAAAUGCAUGCCUUCCCAGAGAAUGCCUAAUACUUUCCUUUUGGCUUGUUUUCUUGUUAGGGGCAUGGCUUAGUCCCUAAAUAACAUUGUGUGGUUUAAUUCCUACUCCGUAUCUCUUCUACCACUCUGGCCACUACGAUAAGCAGGUAGCUGGGUUUUGUAGUGAGCUUGCUCCUUAAGUUACAGGAACUCUCCUUAUAAUAGACACUUCAUUUUCCUAGUCCAUCCCUCAUGAAAAAUGACUGACCACUGCUGGGCAGCAGGAGGGAUGAUGACCAACUAAUUCCCAAACCCCAGUCUCAUUGGUACCAGCCUUGGGGAACCACCUACACUUGAGCCACAAUUGGUUUUGAAGUGCAUUUACAAGUUUCUGGCAUCACUACCACUACUGAUUAAACAAGAAUAAGAGAACAUUUUAUCAUCAUCUGCUUUAUUCACAUAAAUGAAGUUGUGAUGAAUAAAUCUGCUUUUAUGCAGACACAAGGAAUUAAGUGGCUUCGUCAUUGUCCUUCUACCUCAAAGAUAAUUUAUUCCAAAAGCUAAGAUAAAUGGAAGACUCUUGAACUUGUGAACUGAUGUGAAAUGCAGAAUCUCUUUUGAGUCUUUGCUGUUUGGAAGAUUGAAAAAUAUUGUUCAGCAUGGGUGACCACCAGAAAGUAAUCUUAAGCCAUCUAGAUGUCACAAUUGAAACAAACUGGGGAGUUGGUUGCUAUUGUAAAAUAAAAUAUACUGUUUUGAAAACUUUGUAUUUUGAUGUGACAAUUUCUAACUCACUGUCCCUAACCACACUAAUUACCGUAAGUUCUUCAUUUCUUUUUUCUUUUUCUUUUUAAAUUAAUAAAUUAAUUUAUUUUUUGGAGAUGGAGUCUCGCUUUGUUGCCCAGGCUGGAGUGCAGUGGUGCCAUCUUGGCUCACUGUAACCUCUGCCUCCUGGGUUCAAGCGAUUCUCCUGCCUCAGCCUCACCAGUAGCUGGGAUUACAGUCAUGAGCCACCAUGCCUGGCUAAUGGUUGUAUUUUUAGUAGAGACGGGGUUUUGCCAUGUUGGCCAGGCUGGUCACGAACUCCUGACUUAAAGUGAAACACCUGCCUCGGCCUCCCAAAGUUCUGGGAUUACAGGCGGGAGCCACCGUGCCUGGCCUCAUUUCUUUUUUUAAACUACCUUAAUCACCCAGUGUGGGUAAAUGGUUUGAAGUCUCAUUUCUUACAGCAUCAGUUGCUUUGGUCAAGGAUACUGAGAAGCACAAACCCAGUAAAAAAUGUGAGAAGCAAAAAACUUGAGGAUCAAAAGUGGGAGAGGAGAAGGGUAUAAACUGUAAGGCUGUGGGAAUUAAGCAUUCAUGAAAGAGGCCCAGACCCUGAGUAGGUGAAGGGAUCUUCAGUGUUUCUAGAAUUCUGAAUGAUCAAAUACCCAAACAUUAGAUUGGUGACUUUAUAGGCAAAUGAACCAGCACAGUAUUUUUUUUUUUUUUGAGACAGAGUCUCGCUCUGUCUCCAGGCUGGAGUGCGGUGGUGUGAUCGGCUCACUGCAACCUCUGCCACCCAGGUUCAAGCAAUUGUGCCUCAGCCUCCCGAAUAGCUGGGAUUAAAGGCGUGUAGUACGACAGCAGGCUAAUUUUUGUAUUUAAUUUAGUAGAGAGAGGGUUUCACCAUUUUGGCCAGGCUAGUCUCUUAACUCCUGACCUCAAAUGAUCCACCCGCCUCGGCCUCCCAAAGUGCUGGGAUUACGGGCAUAAGUCGCCGUGCCCAGCCCCCAGCACAGUAUUCUAUAGGCAAGAGUUCCUACUGCUUUGUUGGAAAUUAAACUGGAAACUGGUUUUUUUUUUUUUCUCCAGAAAGUCUUAAGCUGUUAUGGGCCCAGAUGGUUAUUCAGUAUAUGAACUUUUUUUUUUUUUUUUUUAGACAGUGUCUUGCUCAGCCACCCAGGCUGGAGUGCAGUGGUGUGAUCUCGGCUCACUGCAGCCACUGUCUCCCAGGUUCAAGUGAUUCUCCCGUCCCAGCCUCCAGAACAGCUGGCAUUACAGGCACCCGCCAUCAUGCCCGGCUAACUUUUGUAUUUUAGUAGAGACUGGGUUUCACCAUGUUGGCCAGGCUAGUCUUGAACUCCUGACCUCAGGUGAUCCACCAGCCUUGGCCUCCCAAGGUGCUAGGAUUACAGGUGUGAGCCGCCGCACCCGUCCCAGUACAUGGACCUUUAAAACCGAUGCCUGAAGAACUCUUACCUAUGUGUUAACAGUUGAAUUUUGUCAUUAUAAAUGAGUAGAGUUUGAGGUGAUAAAGUUGACCCAUAUCUUGGGGGUUGCUUCUGAACUGGGAUGGUGCUACAUGGACUUUUCUCUUUACUCUUAUUUCUUUGCAAGGCUGGAUGUGUAGGACAGAGGGAAAGCAGGUGAGGCGGUAAGGAGACUUCCUGAAGUUAUUCUUGAGUGUCUUCUGUUCCUUUGUCCAUCCCUCUUGAUUCCUUCAGCAGAUCCUAUUCCCAUAGGGGCUUACUUCAGUCCCCUUGUCAUAUUUGCUGUGCUUACUCUUGUGUUUGUGGUGCUUUGGUCCUCAAAUUCCUUGAUUCUCUUGUAAAAUUUGAAGGGAGAGGAAAUGAAAAACACCGUAUCUCCUGGUUAGUGAGGAAAGGUCAGACAAGGCAAUUUUAUAGGGGCAGCAGAAAUAUUUAGAAAAUGUCAAAGCAUUUGAUAGUAUUUUUCAGUUUUUGUAUUUUUUAUGUGGUGUGUAUGAAGUGGUCACUGUAUGCUUGUAGUUGGAUUUGGUGCCAGCCCAACCCACAUCCACAAAAACUUGUGCCUCCUAUCAAUUUACUCUUUUACCCUUGGUCAUGAGAAAAGGUAAUGUUACUGAGGCCAGUAGACUUAGGCAAGCAUCUAUCAUUCAAAUUUCGAAGUGGAAUAAUUUAAAUGGGGUUUAAAAUUUAGCCAGCCAUUCUAUUCACUGUGAAUGGAUAGGCAGGAAGUGUGCUAAUCAUAGGUCCAACUUCUGAAAAAGGUGGAGGUAGCAAGGAAAACCAGUUGAAGGACCUUAGUACCUUUCCCAUGAAUUAUAGCAAAUGGAGCACCAAGGCAAUUACAUGGUAGCUGAGGAGUCAUUAGUUCUCAAAAUUCAAACCCCACUCAGCUAUAUUGUUUCCAUUGGCUUGGUAAAGGUGAACUUUUGAGGGGUUCUUAUUGUUAGUAUUUCCUGGGUUUGCCACAGUCUUGCUCCCAGUACCAGCAUUCUCAGUGACGAGCUUCCUUUUACCCACUCCAGUUUCUCUUCUCUGUGUACUCUGGAUCAAAAUAGUAACUCCUUUCUAGAGUGCUAGAACAAAAGCUGGCAUCACUUGAGGGCCUAAGGAGAGGAGAGCAAAGGGAGAGCAGAAUGCAAAGUAGAGUGGGAAAGAAAGUUGGAUUCGAGCAGCCUUGCAGGUAGCUAACUACUUAGGCAGAACCUGUCACUUUAUGGGAACUCCGUGGUAAGGAAAAAAAUUCAUAAGCAGACUUUGCAGGCAGGAUUUCAAAAAAUCUUAGGAAUUCUGACUCACAUUAAAUAGAAGAAGAAUGUCAAAGGUUGAGUGGCUUGUGAGGGAUGAGCUUUGAGUGGACCCUACUUUAUAAUAUUCCGUGAAGAAAUGAUUAG